GAUCAUGCUCAGGACGAACGCUGGCGGCGUGCCUAACACAUGCAAGUCGAACGGAACUGUUUUGAAAGAUUUCUUCGGAAUGAAUUUGAUUUAGUUUAGUGGCGGACGGGUGAGUAACGCGUGAGUAACCUGCCUUCAAGAGGGGGAUAACGAUUCUGAAAAGAAUGCUAAUACCGCAUGACAUAUCGGAACCACAUGGUUCUGAUAUCAAAGAUUUUAUCGCUUGAAGAUGGACUCGCG
rnacentral:rRNA from 1 species